rnacentral:tRNA from 1 species
ACCUGGCUGGCUCAGUCCGUAGAGCAUGUGAUUCUUGAUCUCAGGGUCAUGAGUUCAAGCCCCAUGUUGGGCA